rnacentral:miRNA from 1 species
UUGGUGUUAUAUCUUACAGUGAG